UACGUAGGGGGCAAGCGUUGUCCGGAAUCAUUGGGCGUAAAGAGCGUGUAGGCGGCUCGAUAAGUCUGCUGUGAAAGUCCAGGGCUCAACCCUGGAAGGCCGGUGGAUACUGUCGGGCUAGAGUCCGGAAGAGGCGAGUGGAAUUCCCGGUGUAGCGGUGAAAUGCGCAGAUAUCGGGAGGAACACCAAUGGCGAAGGCAGCUCGCUGGGACGGUACUGACGCUGAGACGCGAAAGCGUGGGGAGCAAACAGG
rnacentral:rRNA from 1 species